AGCAGCCGCGGUAAUUCCAGCUCCAAUAGCGUAUAUUAAAGUUGUUGCAGUUAAAAAGCUCGUAGUUGAAUUUCGGGAUCAAGUCGUCGGUCGUGCUUAGGUACGUACUGGCGUCAUUGAUUUCUCCCUUCUGACGAACCAUGAUGUCAUUAAUUUGGUGUUAUGGGAAAUCAGGACUGUUACUUUGAAAAAAUUAGAGUGUUUAAAGCAGGCUCACGCUUGAAUACAUUAGCAUGGAAUAAUGAAAUAGGACGUUCGAUCCUAUUUUGUUGGUUUCUAGGAUCAACGUAAUGAUUAAUAGGGAUAGUUGGGGGCAUUAGUAUUCAAUUGUCAGAGGUGAAAUUCUUGGAUUUAUUGAAGACUAACUACUGCGAAAGCAUUUGCCAAGGAUGUUUUCAUUAAUCAAGAACGAAAGUUAGGGGAUCGAAGACGAUCAGAUACCGUCGUAGUCUUAACCAUAAACUAUGCCGACUAGGGAUCGGAUGAUGUUAAUUUUUUAAUGACUCAUUCGGCGCCUUACG
rnacentral:rRNA from 1 species